GUUGUUGCAGUUAAAAAGCUCGUAGUUGAAUUUCGGGAUCAAUGUUUCGGUCAUGCCGUUGGUAUGUACUGAUAUUAUUGAUUUCUCACCUUCUAAAGAACCGUAAUGCCAUUAAUUUGGUGUCACGGGGAAUUAGGACUGUUACCUUGAAAAAAUUAGAGUGUUUAAAGCAGGCUCACGCUUGAAUACAUUAGCAUGGAAUAAUGAAAUAGGACAUCCGAUUCUAUUUUGUUGGUUUCUAGGAUCGAUGUAAUGAUUAAUAGGGAUAGUUGGGGGCAUUAGUAUUCAAUUGUCAGAGGUGAAAUUCUUGGAUUUAUUGAAGACUAACUACUGCGAAAGCAUUUGCCAAGGAUGUUUUCAUUAAUCAAGAACGAAAGCUAGGGGAUCGAAGACGAUCAGAUACCGUCGUAGUCUUAACCAUAAACUAUGCCGACUAGGGAUCGGAUGAUGUUAAUUUUUUAAUGACUCAUUCGGCGCCUUACGGGAAAC
rnacentral:rRNA from 1 species